rnacentral:rRNA from 1 species
GUAGGUGGCAAGCGUUGUCCGGAAUUAUUGGGCGUAAAGCGCGCGCAGGUGGUUCUUUAAGUCUGAUGUGAAAGCCCCCGGGCUCAACCAGGGAGGGUCAUUGGAAACUGGGGAACUUGAGUGCAGGAGAGGAAAGUGGAAUUCCACGUGUAGCGGUGAAAUGCGUAGAUAUGUGGAGGAACACCAGUGGCGAAGGCGACUUUCUGGCCUGUAACUGACACUGAGGCGCGAAAGCGUGGGGAGCAAACAGGAUUAGAUACCCUGGUAGUCCACGCCGUAAACGAUGAGUGCUAAGUGUUGGGGGGUUUCCGCCCCUCAGUGCUGCAGCUAACGCAUUAAGCACUCCGCCUGGGGAGUACGGUCGCAAGACUG